AAAAAGACAAAUUGUGGGUUUCCAUGCCAACAUUUGACUGUCCGUUUUAUAUAAAUUUUUUUUAUAGUUAGUAUUUUCAUUGUUGUUAGAUGAUAAAACAUGAUUAAUAUUUUAUGCGUGACUUAUCUUUUUAAUUUUUUCAUAAUUUCUUCAAUACGACAGAUGGUCAACGUUGGACACAGAAAU
rnacentral:pre_miRNA from 1 species